CCUACGGGAGGCAGCAGUCGAGAAUUUUUCUCAAUGGGGGAAACCCUGAAGGAGCGACGCCGCGUGGAGGAUGAAGGCUUUCGGGUUGUAAAGCUCUUUCAGCGGGGAAGAUAAUGACGGUACCCGCAGAAGAAGCCCCGGCUAACUUCGUGCCAGCAGCCGCGGUAAUACAGAGGUCCCAAGCGUUGUUCGGAUUCAUUGGGCGUAAAGGGUGCGUAGGUGGCGCCGUAAGUCGGGUGUGAAAUUUCGGAGCUUAACUCCGAAACUGCAUUCGAUACUGCGGUGCUUGAGGACUGGAGAGGAGACUGGAAUUCAUGGUGUAGCAGUGAAAUGCGUAGAGAUCAUGAGGAAGACCAGUGGCGAAGGCGGGUCUCUGGACAGUUCCUGACACUGAGGCACGAAGGCCAGGGGAGCAAACGGGAUUAGAUACCCCGGUAGUCCUGGCAGUAAACGGUGCACGUUUGGUGUGGGAGGAUUCGACCCCUUCCGCGCCGGAGCUAACGCGUUAAACGUGCCGCCUGGGGAGUACGGCCGCAAGAUUAAAACUCAAAGAAAUUGACGGGGGCCCGCACAAGCGGUGGAGUAUGUGGCUUAAUUCGAUGCAACGCGAAGAACCUUACCAGGCCUUGACAUGCAUUUCUAAGCGGGUGAAAGCCCGUGAGUCUCGAAAGAGACAACUUGCACAGGUGCUGCAUGGCUGUCGUCAGCUCGUGUCGUGAGAUGUUGGGUUAAGUCCCGCAACGAGCGCAACCCCUGUGAACUGUUGCCACCGGCGCAAGCCGAGCACUCUGUUCAGACUGCCCUGUGAAACGGGGAGGAAGGUGGGGACGACGUCAAGUCAGUAUGGCCCUUACGGCCUGGGCUGCACACGUACUACAAUGCUCAGUACAGAACGAUCCGAGACCGCGAGGUGGAGGAAAUCUAUCAAAACUGAGCCCAGUUCGGAUUGGAGUCUGCAACUCGACUCCAUGAAGCCGGAAUCGCUAGUAAUGCCGUAUCAGCUACGACGGCGUGAAUACGUUCCCGGGCCUUGUACACA
rnacentral:rRNA from 1 species